CACAUGCAAGUCGAGCGGAUGACGGGAGCUUGCUCCCGAAUUCAGCGGCGGACGGGUGAGUAAUGCCUAGGAAUCUGCCUGGUAGUGGGGGACAACGUCUCGAAAGGGACGCUAAUACCGCAUACGUCCUACGGGAGAAAGUGGGGGAUCUUCGGACCUCACGCUAUCAGAUGAGCCUAGGUCGGAUUAGCUAGUUGGUGAGGUAAUGGCUCACCAAGGCGACGAUCCGUAACUGGUCUGAGAGGAUGAUCAGUCACACUGGAACUGAGACACGGUCCAGACUCCUACGGGAGGCAGCAGUGGGGAAUAUUGGACAAUGGGCGAAAGCCUGAUCCAGCCAUGCCGCGUGUGUGAAGAAGGUCUUCGGAUUGUAAAGCACUUUAAGUUGGGAGGAAGGGCAUUAACCUAAUACGUUGAUGUUUUGACGUUACCGACAGAAUAAGCACCGGCUAACUCUGUGCCAGCAGCCGCGGUAAUACAGAGGGUGCAAGCGUUAAUCGGAAUUACUGGGCGUAAAGCGCGCGUAGGUGGUUUGUUAAGUUGGAUGUGAAAGCCCCGGGCUCAACCUGGGAACUGCAUCCAAAACUGGCAAGCUAGAGUAGGGCAGAGGGUGGUGGAAUUUCCUGUGUAGCGGUGAAAUGCGUAGAUAUAGGAAGGAACACCAGUGGCGAAGGCGACCACCUGGGCUCAUACUGACACUGA
rnacentral:rRNA from 1 species